CAAGUCGAACGGUAACAGGAAGAAGCUUGCUUCUUUGCUGACGAGUGGCGGACGGGUGAGUAAUGUCUGGGAAACUGCCUGAUGGAGGGGGAUAACUACUGGAAACGGUAGCUAAUACCGCAUAACGUCGCAAGACCAAAGAGGGGGACCUUCGGGCCUCUUGCCAUCGGAUGUGCCCAGAUGGGAUUAGCUAGUAGGUGGGGUAACGGCUCACCUAGGCGACGAUCCCUAGCUGGUCUGAGAGGAUGACCAGCCACACUGGAACUGAGACACGGUCCAGACUCCUACGGGAGGCAGCAGUGGGGAAUAUUGCACAAUGGGCGCAAGCCUGAUGCAGCCAUGCCGCGUGUAUGAAGAAGGCCUUCGGGUUGUAAAGUACUUUCAGCGGGGAGGAA
rnacentral:rRNA from 1 species